rnacentral:misc_RNA from 1 species
CUCCUUCCAUCAACUCGAUGUCCUAAGCGGGCACUUCACUCACAUAGACGGUUACCUACGCACGUCCAUCAGAGCGCCUCCGUUGUCAUGUGGAGUGGCGGCGCCAACGCGGCUCCACCCAGAUCCGCCUCAGUGGAGGGCCUAGGAGGCGACGGCGGUGGCAGCAGCGGGGGCAACAUCCAGCCUGGCAGCGCCGCUCCAGCAGCCACCAGCGCCAGCCGCAAGUGGCCCCUGCGUUCGCUCUUCUCUGCAGGCGGUGGCAGCGGCGGUCUCUCUGACGCGGAUUCGGCCCGCCAAUACCAGCUUCACAAGAAAAAUGACACCGCCAACAGUGAUGGUGACAGAGCUGCCGCGCAGGCAAUGCAGCUCAGCAGCAGUAGCCACAUCAUCGAUAAAGGUCUGGAAGCCCAAGAGCACGGGCAGCAACAACAUGUGAAUGCGCUGGUGGUGGACCAGAGCAGCCGCCUGGCGCCCAUGCCUGGCGUAACGCAGGUCCGUCAGCGCCACGGAGUAUUGGUGGGACCGGCUCAUCCUCGUGCUAGCGGUGCCUCACCACUUGCCCGCGGUGUGCGUGCGGAAGUCGAGGACCGGGGUGACGGCGAUGACUGGGGAAGUCCGGCGAACGCGCUCGAGCAGCAGGCCCUCCCAGAACUUUCGACAGCGACUCCACCCUCAGCGCCGGGGACGGCGCACGCCGCCGACAGUGAUGACGUCUUUGUCUCUGAUGUCGCCUUAGCCCACCCUCGGCAUCCUCGCGCGUCACAGACGGCGGCGCAAGCGCUUACCUACACGCCUCGGCGGGGUUUGCCACCCGCGAGCGUACCACAGCAGCAGGCCACUGCCGCCCUUGUAACCGCUACACAAAACUCCAACGCUACGAGCAGUUGGUUCCUUGCACCGUCACCGCGCCGAGGGAUUUCUCCGACAAGCUCGCUGGCAGCCUACACCCCCGCGCCGGCCGGUUUUCACAGCGGUAUUCGAGGCCUUCGCAGUGCCUACGACAUGUCGAGCAGCGGCGGCGGGGCUCGCGGCGGAAGAGAGGCGAAAGGAACGAGUGCUGAUCUCAUGAAGCGACGGAAAAGGGGCUUCGGUGCUGUUGCCGUCCUCCCGCCCACUUCAUUGUCUGCGUUGCCGAGCGCCGGCGCACACACGGCCGACAACGCUGAGCUUGUAGCCACUGCACUCACAGCCCAAGAGGCGGAGCGCCAGCGGCUGGCGGCAGAGGAGGCGGAGCGCCAGCGUCUCGCUAAGGCGGCAGAAGCUGCUGAACAGAGGCGAAGUUGGGUGCACGCAGUUCAAGAGAUUUUGGAGCAAAUCGCCGACGCGUGCGAAGCGGAUGUGCCCACGCCUGCAGAAGCGAGCUGCAGCGUUGUGUACCCCGGGGCCAAAGUCACGGAGCCCAUUCAUGUGGCACGGCAGCUUCUGGAGAAGGCGAGGAGCAGUGAGGUCUCCAGUGCGAACUCUCUUGACGGCGACUGCGAUGUUGUGAGGAAUUACGGCACGGUGGUGCGCAUGUUGGCUGCGCACACGCAAACGGCCGUAGAGCGGGAAGGUGGCGAGUGCGAAGUAGAUGGCCAUCGAAUCCAGCGGACUCGGCAGCUAGUCCUGGAGACGUGGCAAAACAUCUCCGUGGCGCUCCCUGGCAUCUGGCGCCGGGCGUGGGCGUCGGCAAUGGCGACGUUGUCCGAGGAUAAGCAACUCUCAGGUGAGCGUAGUCUUGCAGCAUUAAUGGGGCGAGAGCCCAUAACACUUGCCCGACGGACGGCUGUCGCACUCGGCACCCUCUUUAUGCAGCGCUCGUCACGCAGCGACCGGCCCCUCGGCGUUAGCGAAGUGCACGCUGGCGUCGUAGCAGGCCUAGAAGCCGCUCUAAAGUCGUCGGCGGCAACGGCCACCGUUUCUGCUGUCUCUACUGCCCCAACCGUGGCAGAGAUGCCGCCAUGGGCAAUGGAAAUUGUGGCGGUGACGGCGGAGGCGAUGGUACGUCGUGACGAGAUGAUCAAGCAGCAGGUCGUUGAUGUUGCGAGCACCGCCGCUGCGGUAGAUGACUGUGGCAACGCCGACAGGGCUAUGCGCAGGGCACGGGUGCAGCUGCGGGAAGGUUCAUGGACGCUCUGGUACGUGCUGAGAGUUUUGGGUCUGCUGGCGUGGUGGGAAGGAAUGCUGCCCCACCUCAUCCCUUGUCUUCCACCCUCAGCACAGGCGCACACCGAGGCGAGCGCGACAGAUGCGUGGUCAUAGGUGCGCCGCCCCCUCACGCGUAGCAACGCAGGCGGGGCGCGAGCGGAGUGAAGAAGCACGACAGAGACAGAGAGGAGAGCCUCCACGUGAUGUAGCCACACCCACGCACUGAUUUAGCAGCGCUCACCACUAUCAACACCGCCCCUCAUAUUGCAGAUAUCCAUUCGCGCUGCUGCUGCCCUUGCAGGUGAGGUGGAUCGAUGUUAUGUAUUUAUGCACCCCCAUUUUCCUUCAUCAGUGCACCACACGUCCUGUUCAGUGAGUCGUUGUUGUCGAGGCAAGGGCGCUGCUGUGCUUGUUUGCCUUCUCUGCUGCCCCCCUCUCCCAAUCCUCACUUGGUGUACCGCACCUCCUCCCCUGCAGCGCAAC